rnacentral:rRNA from 1 species
CAAAAGUGAGGCGAGACGGAGACGUUAAGCAAAGCACAAAAACCUAAGUCCCAGUUCGGAUUGUAGUCUGCAACCCGACUACAUGAAGCUGGAAUCGCUAGUAAUCCCGAAUCAGCAUGUCGGGGUGAAUGCGUUCCCGGGUCUUGUACACACUGCCCGUCACGCCAUGGGAGUCGGGGGUACCCGAAGUCAGUGGGCUAACCAGCAAUGGAGGCAGCUGCCGAAGGUAAAACUGAUGACUGGGGUGAAGUCGUAACAAGGUAGC